rnacentral:rRNA from 1 species
ACAGGGAUUGCCCUAGUAACGGCGAGUGAAGCGGCAACAGCUCAAAUUUGAAAUCUGGCUCUUUCAGGGUCCGAGUUGUAAUUUGCAGAGGGCGCUUUGGCGUUGGCAGCGGUCCAAGUUCUUUGGAACAGGACGUCACAGAGGGUGAGAAUCCCGUACGUGGUCGCUAGCCUUCGCCGUGUAAAGCCCCUUCGACGAGUCGAGUUGUUUGGGAAUGCAGCUCUAAAUGGGAGGUAAAUUUCUUCUAAAGCUAAAUACUGGCCAGAGACCGAUAGCGCACAAGUAGAGUGAUCGAAAGAUGAAAAGCACUUUGGAAAGAGAGUCAAAUAGCACGUGAAAUUGUUGAAAGGGAAGCGCUUGCAGCCAGACUUGCCUGUAGUUGCUUAUCUGGACUUUUGUCCGGUGCACUCUUCUGCGGGCAGGCCAGCAUCAGUUUGGGCGGUUGGAUAAAGGUCUCUGUCAUGUACCUCCUUUCGGGGAGGCCUUAUAGGGGAGACGACAUGCAACCAGCCUGGACUGAGGUCCGCGCAUCUGCUAGGAUGCUGGCGUAAUGGCUGUAAGCGGCCCGUCUUGAAACACGGACCAAGGAGUCUAACAUCUAUGCGAGUGUUUGGGUGUCAAGCCCAGACGCGUAAUGAAAGUGAACGGAGGUGGGAACCCUUUGGGUGCACCAUCGACCGAUCCUGAUGUCUUCGGAUGGAUUUGAGUAAGAGCAUGGCUGUUGGGACCCGAAAGAUGGUGAACUAUGCUUGAAUAGGGUGAAGCCAGAGGAAACUCUGGUGGAGGCUCGCAGCGGUUCUGACGUGCAAAUCGAUCGUCAAAUUUGGGCAUAGGGGCGAAAGACUAAUCGAACUAUCUAGUAGCUGGUUCCUGCCGAAGUUUCCCUCAGGAUAGCAGUAACGUAUUCAGUUUUAUGAGGUAAAGCGAAUGAUUAGAGGCCUGGGGGUUGAAACAACCUUCACCUAUUCUCAAACUUUAAAUAUGUAAGAAGUCCUUGUUACUUGAUUGAACGUGGACACUUGAAUGUACCGUUACUAGUGGGCCAUUUUUGGUAAGCAGAACUGGCGAUGCGGGAUGAACCGAACGCGGGGUUAAGGUGCCAGAAUAUACGCUCAUCAGACACCACAAAAGGUGUUAGUUCAUCUAGACAGCAGGACGGUGGCCAUGGAAGUCGGAAUCCGCUAAGGAGUGUGUAACAACUCACCUGCCGAAUGAACUAGCCCUGAAAAUGGAUGGCGCUCAAGCGUAUUACCCAUACCCCGCCGCCGGGGCAGAAUUUAUGCCCCGGCGAGUAGGCAGGCGUGGAGGCUCGUGACGAAGCCUUGG